CCUAGCAGCCAGAAGCCAUCUUCUUCAACCUUCUUCACAAGACAAGAGAACGAGGCAAACCCUAGAGCUAAAAAGGAGCUGUGCAGCAGCACUAAAAAGGGGGCAGAUGCUUGAAGGAAUAAAAUGCAACAGCUACUGCCCAUCUUCUUCCUCAAAACAGCUUCAUCUUCUUCAUUCAACAACCAUGAAAACCAGCUGAAACUUCAUUCAUUAAAACACUCCAAAAUCAGCACCUAAAACUCGACAGAACACGUCCAUUUUUACCUCAAAACACAGCAAAAAUCCAGCCAAAAAGAAGCAGCAAAACCAGUUUUUUAAACCUCCAAAAUCCAUCCAGGAACUCCAGCAAAGCUUCAGCUCGAAAUCGGUCUCAAAGUAGCUCAAAAAAUGAGUUGAAAAUAGUCUAAAAUCCAGCAACAACGAGCUAAAAACAGCACUAUUUCCACACCAAAUUCCGUCCAAAAACCAGCAUCUUUCUAGCCCCGAAAACCACCAAAAAUCACUCUCGAAACUGUCCGAAAUGCAGCUGAAACCUCUGUUCGAAAUAGCUGUGUUGCUGCUAAAAAAGACCAUAUGAAACACCACUCAAUAGUACCCUUUGAAUACCAGGAAACAACAGUGGAAAUGGAGCAAAAUCACCAUCCCUUUUCUUUGAUUGAGGUCGAGUCAAUGAGGUUUCUGGUCGAGAUCCUGGUCCCGAUUUAUGUGAGCUUCAUUGUAUGGUUUUGAUCUUGAAGAUCAUGUGUAUUAACUCCAUAAAUUAAACAAAGUUUGCUGUCAAAGUGAUUUUAAAUUGUGCAACACACACUUCUGUUACAACAACGUUUCCAAGAUCUUUGUAGUGCUGGAGGUAUCCUGCGGUUUUUGAAGCGAACCAAAUAGUAAGCAGUUCGAGGUCGUAGAUAAAGGUUUUAGUCGCUGGCUCAUUUGUUUCACUCAAAUUCCGGUAAGAAUCCGGUGAAGUUUUCGGCGAGACAUUCCAGUAGAGUUCUUGUCCGAGGUUUUGACAUUUCAGAUUCAUCGAGAUCCAGGUACAUCGACUCAGUCCUACCACCCGUGAGGCAAGACGACUACUCUAGAGACUUCGAGGUUGAGCACUUAUUGGAUAUCUUGAGAGAGCACAGACAAGCCAUUGGUUGGACUAUAGCAAAUAUCCGAGGGAUUCCCGCCGAAAUUUGUGAGCACAAGAUACAAUUGGAGGAAGAGAGCAAACCUAGCGUGGAGCAUCAAAGGAGGUUAAAUCCUUCCAUGCAAGAGGUGGUGAAGAAAGAAAUCAUAAAAUGGUUGGAUGCUGGGGUUGUCUACCCCAUUGUCGAUAGUUCUUGGGUGAGUCCGGUACAAUGUGUGCCAAAGAAAGGAUGCAUGACCAUGAUUCAAAAUGACAAAAAUGAACUCAUCCCAACAAGGACAGUGACCAAGUGGAGAGUUUGCAUGGACUGCCGGAAGCUAAAUAGUGCUACUUGCAAAGACCAUUUUCCUAUGCCUUUUUAUUGAUGAAAUGCUUGAUCGGCUAGCGGGAAGGUCACUUUAUUGCUUCUUGGAUGGUUAUUAUGGCUA